GAUGAAGAACGCAGCGAAAUGCGAUACGUAAUGUGAAUUGCAGAAUUCAGUGAAUCAUCGAAUCUUUGAACGCAUAUUGCGCUCUCUGGUAUUCCGGAGAGCAUGCUUGUUUGAGUAUCAGUAAACACCUCAACUUCCAUAUCUUUUUUGAAAUGGGAGUUGGACUUGAGUGAUCCCAACGCUUUUCCUCACCGAAAAGUGGCGGGUUACUUGAAAUGCAGGUGCAGCUGGACCUUUCUCUGAGCUAUAAGCAUAUCUAUUUAGUCUGCCUAAAAAACAGAUUAUUACCUUUGCUGCAGCUAACAUAAAGGAGAUUAGUUCUUGUGCUGACUGAUGCAGGAUUCACAAAGACAGGCUUCGGCCGACUUUGUAAACUCGAUCUCAAAUCAAGUAAGACUACCCGCUGAACUUAAGCAUAUCAAUAAGCGGAGGA
rnacentral:misc_RNA from 1 species